rnacentral:tRNA from 1 species
UAUAAAUGGGACACAACGCCGUAAAAGGAUUUACAAUCCAUCGCUUAAAAUCUCAGCCACCAAAAG